AAGGCAAGUACUUAGUGUCUAUUUACGUAGUAAUGUCUUUAAGAACUUCAUCAGAAAGCUAACCAGAUUUCAGCUUCUCUUAGAUUUUUUGUUGUUUCUUGGUUGGUAGAUUUGAUUUUCUUCCAUUUUCCAGGUUUAGGCACUUUAUCAGCUUCAUUAUACCCAAUGGCCAGCAUCAAACCUUUUAGGUUCUAAGGAACUGAUUUGCAGAAGAACCAGGGUCUGUAGAAAGGAAAGAUCCCACAUCUGCCCUACUCCUAUCAGGACUGCACAAACUACAAGAGAUUCUGCCAUGAUGCCAUCCAUUUCAUAGAUAUGAUGAUUUUGGUAGGAGCCGAGGUAACUUAGCAGUGAUGGCAUCUGGAUGAAUUUCUCUGGCACAAGAGGAUAUUUCCAUCCCUCUUUAACCCUGGUUGAAGUUGAUUAAACAACACGAUUCUCUUGAGCCCGUGGUGACUUAGCAGAAGAAUUUUGCAUUUCCAUGCUGCUCUCCUGGAGAAGCCAAGUGCCUGACUAAUUCUGUGCAUGUGAGUACAUGAGUGUGUUAACGGUUCCAUUCACAUCAGUCAGACUACUCACAUGCUUGGAUUAAUUAUACAUUUAAGGCAGAUUUGCCAGUGAUUAUCAUUAAUUGCAACUGCAGUGAUUUAGGUCCUUCUAUCCGAGUUAGCAUAAGGGCACAUGCCUCAUUCUUCAUUACUUUUUUU
rnacentral:lncRNA from 1 species